UUCUGUGACAUAUCCCUGUAAAGGAACUGUUCAGUGGAAACAUGGUUCGUACAUAUAAAAGGACACCAGGUUCCAGAUGCUAACGUCAGUAGACUGAAGCAGCGGUGUUCGAAGCAAUUGAUAAAGUGAAAUCAAUGAAAAUGUCACGUGGAGAAGAUCAAGAGAGGCCAAGCAAAUGAAGACUCUAGGAAAUAAGAGCCUAUGAUACUGAAGUACAUCAGGGAGACAUUAUGAUGGAGUGAAGGACUGGCAACAGAACAAAAACCAGAAACCCCAGACAGCACCUGGAACCUGUUUGUCAGACAAAGCAGGGAGGCCUUAUGUGCGGCCACCUGGGAAGUCUUUCACCUCCCACUCGACCACAGGUGAGGGGUCAACCUCAGUGCAAGCAGUAACACCAGUGAGGACUGAUCGGAGGACUUAGAUGUGCUGGAUGUCCGUUGGAUCCCCAUGGCCAGCCCACAACAUUGGUGCCCAUCCACUGCAGCCUCAAGCUGUGUCACUGAAGCCAUCAUAGCCUGGAGCUGAGAGCAAAGUGUCACCAACUCGGCUUGCAUCUGCACACAACAAUUGCAGUCCCUGUCCAUACUAAACACAGUGGAAAACUAAACUAUGCCAAUAAAUGGACUAUCAGCACGUGCUGCGGAACUCUACUGUAGACACUGAUGAAA